rnacentral:lncRNA from 1 species
AGAUCAACUAGCUGACAUAUUCACCAAGGCAGCCAGCAACAAAGUUUGUGAGUCCAUCCUCCCUAGGCUUGGACUCAUAAACAUUCCAUGUCAAUGAUCCCCUCACCAUGGAGUGUUCUACUCUUUUUCCUUUGCUUGGUUUUUAUCCCAAGUGGUUUUUCCAAGUAAAGGUUUUAAUGAGGGAAUACUUCAUGCCUUUCCAAGCUUGACACUCACCACUGUCAAGCUUGAGGGGGAGUGUUGACAUGAAGACAUUCAGAGCAUAAACAAGAAGUAGAGAUCAAGAGAAGCAUGCUUGAUGAGGAGUUAAGUGGCGCAUCCGUACAAGGGUGUACGGAUAUCUCUCCCUUAACCUAGCUUGGAUAUCAAGGCAAGUACUGGUAAGGCAUUGACAUGAGAUCGCGUGUAAGAGCAUCCUAAGUCCCUGGAGUUGUUUAAUAUAAAGAAGGUGACCGUUGGGAGCUAAGGAACAAAGCAAGAUCACAUGUGAGGUUAAGGAAGAGAGAGAUUGGCGAGAGGUCACUAUCACCUCACCUGUCCGAGCUCAGCUUGUCCUAUUUGUCUACAUUGUUUAUAGUUUCUUGUUUGUCUUAGUAUAGCAACUUGUAGUCUAUAUUAAGGAUGUAACCAGACCCAAAAUGAAUCAAGGAAAUGAGUUCCUCUUCUCUUUAGUCUUAUGCGAUUCUCUCUCUCUCUCUCUCUCUCUCGGUUCUCUUCACAUUCUUCAUAAUUCUCAUAAUGACUUAAACAAAUCACAUAUUCUUUCAUGGUAUCAGAGCAACCUUACUCUUGAGACCUAAACCUUUUUCUUUCUUCCGCAAAUUCUCUGAGUUCUAAAUUCUAUUUUUGGCAAAGUUCAUCUUGUUCUUGAUUCUUUGUUUCCAGAAUUUGCCAAAAAUAGCAAAAACCAUCCGAAACCUUUUUCUUUUCUUUUCUCUCUUGAUGGAUACCUCUGAGAACACAAAGAUGGUGAUGAUACCAGUCACACUCAAGGGUCCUAACUACCUGACAUGGGCAAGACUUGCCAAAACAGCUCUCGGAGGCAGAGGUCUUUGGGAAGUUGUUGAAGAAGGCCGCCCCACCAAGAAGACUGUCCUAGGAGAGGAUGGCAAAGAGGUGGUGAUUGCGGAUGCUGGGGAGAAGAAGAAAGGUCAGGAGGACCUCAUGGUGUUGUCUAUCAUCCAGAAUAGCCUCGCUCCUUCUCUCCAAGAGGCUUAUGCCUUUUGUGAGACCUCCAAAGAGUUGUGGGACACUCUUAAGAAGGUAUAUGCUAAUAAAUCCAACAUAAGCAAGGUGUAUGAAGUGAAAGGAGCCAUCAACUCUCUCAGUCAAGAGGACACAGACUUUGAUGCUCACUUUGGGAAGUUCAGGUCCCUAUGGGCCGAGCUAGAGAUGCUCAGGCCAGCCACUGUCGACCCAGAUGUUCUUCAUGAAAGGAGAGAGCAGGAUAAGGUCUUUGCCUUACUACUUACCCUUAACCCAGGGUAUGAUGACCUAAUCAGGCACAUACUGAGGAACAAGGAGCUUCCCUCCCUUGAUGAAGUGUGUGCGGAGAUCCAAAAGGAGCACGGCUCAGUGGGUCUCUUUAAGAGAAAGGGAGAGAUGGUGAUGGCCAAUCAAGCUGAAGGAGCCGAGAACAAACCUGCCGGAGUAGCCAACAAAGGAUACUAUAAGCCUGAGGAUAGGAAGGUGUGGGUGUGUGACCACUGCAAGAAGAAGGGUCAUGGGAAGGACAAGUGCUGGAUCCUUCACCCACAUCUCAAACCGGCCAAAUUCAGAACUGAAGGAAGGGCCAACUACUCGGGUGACAUUGGAGAAACAUCCAACCGCUCUCAAGCUGUUGAGGAGAAAAAGCAGGGCCAUGAUGAUACCAUCAAGAAGUCUGACAUUGAGGCUCUCAUCAAAGCUCUUAAGGAGUCCGGUAACACCCUUGGAACUUCUCUUAAUGCUACUUAUCACACGCCUAGAGGUCUCUUUACUUCUUAUCAAGUAGCUCACCAAACUGAGAGAGUUAAGCCUUUAGUUAUAGACUCAGGCGCCUCUCACCAUAUGAUAAGUGAUGUUAACUUGAUUAGUAACAUAGAACCUGUGAUAGGCAAUGUGAUGAUAGCUAAUGGUGAUAAAAUUCCAAUUAAGGGAGUAGGAACACUUAAGCUGUUUGAUAAAGACUCUAAAGCUUUCUAUAUGCCUACUUUUGCCUCUAACCUUCUUUCUGUAAAACGGGCUACUACUGAUCUAAAUUGUAAUGUCAUAUUUAGUCCUAAUGAAGUUGUGUUUCAGGAUAUUGAGACUCUUAAGUUGAUUGGCAAAGGUGUGACAAAGGGAGAUCUCUACCUUCUUGAAGACGCCAAGACUCCUUCUUAUUUAUCUUCAGCUUUUAGUUCAAUUCCUGUCUUAGAUCAUGAUGUAUUGUGGCAUGCUAGGCUAGGCCAUCCUCAUUCCCGUGCACUGAACUUGUUGUUACCUGAUAUUUCUUUUAAAAAUGAUGGCUGUGAAGCUUGUAUCCUUGGUAAACAUUGCAAGACCGUUUUCCCUAAGUCAUCUACAAUCUAUGAAAAUUGCUUUGAUCUUAUACACUCUGAUGUUUGGACUGCACCAUGCAUAUCUAGGGAGAAUCAUAAGUAUUUUGUCACGUUUAUAGAUCAGAAAUCAAAAUAUACUUGGCUGACUAUGAUUCCAACUAAAGAUAGAGUGCUAGAUGCUUUCAUUAAUUUCCAAACUUACAUAACUAAUCAAUUCAAUGUUAAGAUCAAAGUGUUCAGGUCAGACAAUGGGGGGGAAUACACAAGUCAUGGUUUCAAAAAUUACCUGGCCAAGCAUGGAAUACUUCAUCAAACGAGCUGUCCAUAUACACCCCAACAGAAUGGAGUGGCUGAGAGGAAAAAUCGGCACCUUAUGGGCGUGGCCAGAUCCAUGAUGUUUCAGACCAAUGUUCCUAAGCGGUUCUGGAGUGAUGCAGUCAUGACAGCAUGUUAUCUGAUCAACCGCACUCCAACCAGAAUCCUUGGUGACCUCACACCAUAUGAGGUAAUGAACAAAAGAAAACCCUCUAUUGAUCAUUUACGUGUAUUUGGUUGCUUGUGUUAUGUCUUGCAGCCAGAUGGACAAAGAAACAAGCUUGAGCCACGGAGCACCAAGGCAGUUUUUCUUGGCUAUUCCACUACCCAAAAGGGGUAUAAAUGCUAUGUUCCAGAGGCCAGGAAGGUAUUGGUCUCCAGAGAUGUGAAGUUUGUGGAAUCUAGAGGAUACUUUGAGAAGAAAAGUUGGGAUGAGCUCAAAGAUCUCUCUCAACCGUCCUCAGACAGAGCAGACACACUAAGGCGGCUUAUGCAGAACUUGGGAAUCAGUUUGUUUCCAUCUGCUGGCACUCAGGAGACUGGAGCUGUUCCGGAGACAGUGAGAGAUCCACAAGAUUCUCAUCCUGAUCCUGAAUGGGGGAACAACAAUGAUCAUGAGGCUGAGGGCAAUGAUCCUAAUGUUCAUGAUCCGGAUGAGCAGAUGCAGCAAGAGGCUGACCAAACCACUGAUGUGAACUCUGGAGGAGUCGAAUCAAGUGGACAAGAAGAUGUACAAGAGGUGCAGCAGCUUAGGAGAAGCACAAGAGAAAGGAAACCGGUUUCAAACUGGAACAACACUAGAGUAUACUUCAACGCAGAGGCAGUAGCUCAUCCACCCAGUGCCGUGUGCUCCCUUGCUUACUAUCCAGAAGAACAUCAAGCCUUUGUGGGUUCAUUGGAUCAGGAAUGGAUACCAAGAACAUAUGCAGAAGCUAUGGACAAUGAUGAAUGGAGGGAGUCAGUGAAUGAUGAAAUGGGAGCUAUGGAAAGAAACAACACCUGGUAUGAGACAGAGCUUCCAAGAGGGAAGAAAGCCGUGACCAGUAGACUCAUACACACCAUCAAGUAUCUUGCAAAUGGGAAACCAGAAAGAAAGAAGACCAGGCUGGUGGCAAGGGGAUACACACAAGUGUAUGGAGAAGACUAUCUAGACACCUUUGCACCAGUGGCCAAGCUUCAUACAAUCCGGAUAGUUCUCUCACUAGCAGUGAACCUAGAGUGGGAUCUUUGGCAAAUGGAUGUGAAGAAUGAUUUCUUGCAAGGUGAACUAGAAGAUGAAGUAUACAUGAGGCCACCUCCCGAUUGUACUAUCAGUUGCAACCAACCUUGGGUGGGAUCUUUGGCAAAUGGAUGUGAAGAAUGCUUUCUUGCAAGGUGAACUAGAAGAUGAAGUAUACAUGAGGCCACCUCCCGGAAUGGAAGAGAUGGUGAAACCAGGGAAUGUUCUUAGACUCAGAAAGGCUAUCUAUGGCUUAAAGCAAUCACCAAGAGCCUGGUACCACAAGCUAAGUACUACACUGAAUGGAAAAGGCUUUGUGAAGUCUCAAGCUGAUCAUACCUUCUUUACUCUCACAAGCAAGCAAGGGAUUGUGGUAAUCCUAGUCUAUGUGGAUGAUAUCAUCAUCACUGGUAGUAACAAGGAGGAAAUCAACUCAACCAAGACAUUCCUCAAGACUGCAUUUGACAUCAAGGAUCUAGGAGAGCUGAAGUACUUCCUCGGCAUUGAGAUGUGCAGAACAAAGGAAGGAUUGUUUCUGUCCCAAAGAAAGUAUACUUUGGACAUUCUAAAGGAGGCAGGAGACCUUGGAGGAAGAGUGGCCAAGACACCACUAGAAGAAGGCUACAAGGUUAUGCGUGAGGGGGAGUUUGAUGCAACUCCCUUUGAGGAUGUCAAGAGAUAUAGAAGAAUGGUUGGGAAGCUUAUAUAUCUUACUAUCACAAGGCCGGAUGUGUGUUUUGCUGUGAACCAAGUGAGCCAACAUAUGCAAGCUCCUAAGGUACAUCAUUGGAACAUGGUGGAAAGGAUCUUGAGAUACUUAAGAGAGGCGCCAGGUCAAGGAGUGUGGAUGGCUUGCAACAAGAGUACUGAAGUUGUUGGGUAUUGUGAUGCUGAUUGGGCUGGAGAUCGAGUUGAUAGGAGAUCAACCACAGGCUAUUGCACCUUUAUUGGAGGAAACCUAGUCACAUGGAAGAGCAAGAAGCAGAAGGUGGUCUCUUGCUCAAGUGCUGAGGCAGAGUACCGAUCUAUGAGGAAGCUUACUAGUGAACUCAUAUGGAUCAAGGGACUGCUAAAGGACUUGGGCAUAGAGAUCUCCACACCAAUGACUAUGCAUUGUGACAAUCAGGCAGCAAUACACAUUGCAUCAAACUCUGUGUUCCAUGAGAGGACUAAGCAUAUAGAAGUGGACUGUCACAAGGUGAGACAAGCAGUGGAGCAGCAAGUGAUUCUUCCAUGCUACACAAGAAGUGAAGAUCAACUAGCUGACAUAUUCACCAAGGCAGCCAGCAGCAAGGUUUGUGAGUUCAUUCAUCCUAAACUUGGACUCACGGAUCUUCCAUGUCAUUGAUCUCUCCUUCCAUGAAGUGUUCUACUCUUUUUCCUUGGUUAGGGUUUUGUCCCAUGAGGUUUUUCCUAACUAAGGUUUUAAUGAGGGAAUAGCUUCAUGGAGUCCAAGCUUGACUUGUCCCACAUGGUCAAGCUUGAGGGGGAGUGUUGACAUGAGAGCAUGAAUGACAUAGAGGAAGAAGAGAUCAAGUCAAGACGUGCAUCCGGAGUGAUCAAAGUGUGCUUGUCCGUACAAGUUUGAUCUAACUUGGCGUGCAAGACAAGAGGAGGAUGGGAUACUUGCCUUAAGAUAUUUAAAUGAUGUCGGCCAAGAGAAAGGAUCCGUUGAAGAAGAGGACAAGGUGGUUCAAAGGAGAGAGAGCCGUUUGGUGCUGUCGCUUUCCACCUUUGCUGUGCGCACCUUGCCUUGAUCAGUCCCCUUUUGUUUAUUCUUUUCUUCUAUGUCAACUUGCCAUUAGUUUAUUCAUUGUUGUAUCUAUUUAAGGCAUGUAACCAGAACCAAAUGAAUCAAGGAAAUGAGUUCCUCUUCUCUUUAGUCUUAUGCGAUCCUCUCUCACUCUCUCUCUCUCUCUCGAUUCUCCUCACCUUCUUCAUAAUUCUCAUAAUGGCUUAAACAAAUCUCAUAUUCUUUCAUGGUAUCAGAGCAACAUUACUCUUGAGACCUAAACCUUUUUCUUUCUUCCGCAGAUUCUCUGAGUUCUAAAUUCUAUUUUUGGCAAAGUUCAUCUUGUUCUUGAUUCUUUGUUUCCAGAAUUUGCCAAAAGUAGCAAAAACCAUCCGAAACCUUUUCUUUUCUUUUCUCUCUUGAUGGAUACCUCUGAGAACACAAA